rnacentral:lncRNA from 1 species
CUUCCAUAGGAUGGUCUCCGUGGAACCUCAGGCCGUGCCCUGCUGCCGUCGGUGCUGCUGGCUAGGGCUCUGCCACCCGGGGCUGCUCCAGAGCACUAGGACACCUCUGUCCCCUCAGCAGCUGCUCUCUGCUCCCAGCCCUGAGGGCUGAUGGGGCCUGGGGGGGUCAGAGCCUCUGCUCGGCAACCCCAGGUCAGGUCGGGGAGAAAGAGCAGGAGUGUCCCCCUCAUCAACGAGAGCUUCUUGAACUCACCUCCUUUCCCCAGAAGCAGGAAGCCACCCUGUCUGCGCCCAGCCGGCAGGAAACACCCACCCCCUCACGGGGCCUGCGCUGGCCUGAGUCACAGUGCAGGAGUCAAUAAGGACUCGGGGGCUUUGGGACACAGCGCUGGGCCAGCCCCUGAGCAGGGAGACUCCUGGAUGAGUCCCGCCUGGGACCCCUGGCCUUACGGGAAGGGGCCAAGCAGGUGGCUUGGAAAGAAGGUUCGGUGGGGAAGUCCUUGGUCCUCUCACUGACCCUGAGACGGCUCCACUCCCUGCCUGUGCCUCAGCCUGGAUCUACAUGACUCCAAAGAAGGGGACUGUCAGAUUCCGUCAGCCCUCAUUAUAUGGAUCA